rnacentral:rRNA from 1 species
CGGACGGGUGAGUAACGCGUGGGGAACCUGCCCUGUACAGGGGGAUAACACUUAGAAAUAGGUGCUAAUACCGCAUAAGCGCACAGUAUCGCAUGAUACAGUGUGAAAAACUCCGGUGGUACAGGAUGGACCCGCGUCUGAUUAGCUGGUUGGCGGGGUAACGGCCCACCAAGGCGACGAUCAGUAGCCGGCCUGAGAGGGUGAACGGCCACAUUGGGACUGAGACACGGACCAGACUCCUACGGAAGGCAGCAG